rnacentral:rRNA from 1 species
UAGGGAAUCUUCGGCAAUGGGGGGAACCCCGUCCGAGCAACGCCGCGUGAGUGAAGAAGGUUUUCGGAUCGUAAAGCUCUGUUGUUAAGGAAGAACGAGUGUGAGAAUGGAAAGUUCAUACUGUGACGGUACUUAACCAGAAAGGGACGGCUAACUACGUGCCAGCAGCCGCGGUAAUACGUAGGUCCCGAGCGUUGUACGGAUUUAUUGGGCGUAAAGCGAGCGCAGGCGGUUAGAUAAGUCUGAAGUUAAAGGCAGUGGCUCAACCAUUGUAGGCUUUGGAAACGGUUUAACUGGAGUGCAGAAGGGAAGGGGGGAAUUCCAUGUGUAGCGGUAAAAUGCGUAGAUAUAUGGAGGAACACCGGUGGCGAAAGCGGCUCUCUGGUCUGUAACUGACGCUGAGGCUCGAAAGCGUGGGGAGCGAACAGG